rnacentral:rRNA from 1 species
AUGUGGGCUAAUGGGAGCAGACGGAUGCAGUACAGGUUCUUUGGCGACGUGGUCACAUUCGACACCACAUACAGGACAAAUUUGUACGACAUGCCAUUAUGUUUAUUUGUCGGAGUUAACAAUCACUACCAGAGUAUCAUCCUGGCUGGCGUGCUGAUGCGUGACGAGCAAGAAGAGAGCUUUGAAUGGGUGUUUUCAGAAUUCAUUCGCAUGAUGAGCGGACCUGCACCUAAAACAAUACUAACAGACCAAUGCAGGGCUAUGGAGGUUGCAAUCAAGAAAAUUUAUCCGAACACUGUCCACCGUUUGUGCAAGUGGCAUGUUCUGAAAAAGGCGAAAGAAACACUAGGGUGGCUUUACACAAAAAAAUGUGAUUUUCAAGCUGAAUUUCACAAAGUUGUUAACCACAUGCUAACUGAGGAAGAAUUUGAAUCAGCCUGGGAUGCGCUGCUUGAUAAAUACAAUUUGAGGGGGCAUAACUAUAUGACCCAACUAUAUGAGACAAGACAUAAAUGGGCGAAACCAUAUUUCAGAGGUGUGUUUUGUGCGAAAAUGACGAGUACACAGAGGAGUGAGAGUGCAAACCACAUGCUGAAAACGGACAUGCCCCCUGCAAGCCCAAUGCAUGUUUUCGUCUGA